AAGUUCGAGUGCUACUUUUUUUCUUCAAUUUUUGUACUUUGGGGACCUAACGUCAGAAUCCGACACCACUGGCACCGCCACUGAAUGGACUGAGUGAGAACAUCUCAACAGGUAACUCAUGCUGACCGUUACCAGAAGACGAAUUAAGAUCUUCACGUGCCCAUGAAGACAAGUUCAGCCCAGCACACAUUGCAAGGGUUCCCAUUCCAACCUUGUGCCGGCGGCAGCGCUGGGUUUCCUGGUCUGAUUUGGAUGUGGUGGAGGUAUCCACAGAGGAGUAGGAGGAGGAUGAGCAGGCGGGCCCCUCCCAGAAUGUGCUCGCCACUACCCCACCUGAUGUGGGCAAUGUUGGAGAAGAGCCAGGACCCUCAAAAGGCCAUGACACCACCACCACAGCUCCUUCUGAGGAGGAUAUCCCCACCCCAGCUCUUGACGAAGACUCUGAGGAGGAGUUAGUUACUACCCUGUGCCAGGAGUAAUAAAAAAAUAAAAUAAAGGAGGAUCACCUGAAAGCGGUGAGGGCAAUAUGGGACCAGAUGCAGAAAGCCACGUCAAAGCUGCAGAAAGCCACGGCAAAGCUGCAUCAAUUUGAAAGCAUGCAUAAGAAGGACCUGGAAGAGUUAAUGGAUCUGCAGGAAGACCUUCAAAAAUUGCCAUAGAGAAAAUUUAUUUAUAUUAUUUUUUUAACUAAAUAGUUAUUUUCAGUUAUUACGUU